rnacentral:rRNA from 1 species
UACGGAGGGUGCAAGCGUUGUUCGGAAUUAUUGGGCGUAAAGGGCAGGUAGGUGGUCUUGUAAGUCUACUGUGAAAUCCCUGAGCUUAACUCAGGAAGUGCGGUGGAUACUGCAAGACUAGAGUGCCGGAGGGGUUCGUGGAAUUCCCGGUGUAGCCGGUGAAAUGCGUAGAUAUCGUAAGGAAGACCAGUGGCGAAGGCGGAUCUCUGGACAGUUACUGACACUGAGGCACGAAGGCCAGGGGAGCAAACCGGG